rnacentral:rRNA from 1 species
CACGUAGGGCGCGAGCGUUGUCCGGAAUUAUUGGGCGUAAAGAGCUCGUAGGCGGCCUGUUGCGUCCGCUGUGAAAGCCCGGGGCUUAACCCCGGGUCUGCAGUGGAUACGGGCAGGCUAGAGGUAGGUAGGGGAGAAUGGAAUUCCCGGUGUAGCGGUGAAAUGCGCAGAUAUCUGGAGGAACACCGGUGGCGAAGGCGGCAUCCUGGACCGACACUGACGCUGAGGCGCGAAAGCUAGGGUAGCAAACGGG